rnacentral:rRNA from 1 species
AUUGAACGCUGGCGGCAGGCCUAACACAUGCAAGUCGAGCGGAGCGGCGGACGGGUGAGUAUUGCCUAGGUAUCUGCCUGGUAGUGGGGGAUAAUGCCCGGAAACGGACGUCAAUACCGCACACUAUCAGAUGAGCCUAGGGCGGAUUAGCUGGUGGGUGGGGUAAUGGCCUACCAAGGCCACGAUCCGUAACUGGUCUUAGAGGAUGAUCAGUCACACUGGACCUGAGACAAGGUCCAGACUCAUACGUGAGGCAGCAGUGGGGAAUAUUGGACAAUGGGCGAAAGCCUGAUCCAGCCAUGCCGCGUGUGUGAAGAAGGUCUUCGGAUUGUAAAGCACUUUAAGUUGGGAGGCGUUACCAACAGAAUAAGCACCGGCUAACUCCGUGCCAGCAGCCGCGGUAAUUC